rnacentral:rRNA from 1 species
GACGUAGGGGGCGAGCGUUGUCCGGAUUCAUUGGGCGUAAAGCGCGCGUAGGCGGUUCGGAAAGUCGGAUGUGAAAGCCCCGGGCUCAACCCGGGAAGUGCAUUCGAAACUGGCGGGCUUGAAUAUGGAAGAGGGUCGCGGAAUUCCCGGUGUAGAGGUGAAAUUCGUAGAUAUCGGGAGGAACACCAGUGGCGAAGGCGGCUCACUGGACUGGUACUGACGCUGAGGCGCGAAAGCGUGGGGAGCAAACGGG